AGAAAGCAUGGCUUAUCUGUAUUUGUGCUAUGUCCUGGUUGGGAAAUGUUACAUUUCAAGCUCAACUUAAAAAGGACUCUUUAUUGAUGACUUGGACUGGAUGUAAGCUUGGAACUUUUUGCUUACUUAUGGAACUGUUUCUGAAAUGGAAGAGUCAAAUGCAUGGAUUGUUAUUGGUGGGAGUGAAUUUAUCGCAAACGGUUAUUAAUCUACUGAGGGACUACUUCUACUUUGGACAUUGAUUUAGGAUAUAUAAGACCUACAAACAUCAAUUUACACUUCAUUGAAGUGUGCAACCAAUGACUACAUGUAAAGUAGUCCUGUAAGCUGACUGUUUCAUUGUUUUGUUUAUUGUAGUUGAUUUGUUUUUCGUUUGUACUUACUUUUUGGGUGUUGACAAUUAUUGUUCUUUUUCAUGGGAAUAUAAAAACAGAUAUAGUGUUUAUUCAUUUGG